UACGGAGGGGGCUAGCGUUGUUCGGAAUUACUGGGCGUAAAGCGCACGUAGGCGGCUUUGUAAGUUAGAGGUGAAAGCCCAGGGCUUAACCCUGGAAUUGCCUUUAAGACUGCAUCGCUAGAAUCGUGGAGAGGUGAGUGGAAUUCCGAGUGUAGAGGUAGUAAAUUCGUAGAAUAUUCGGAAGAACACCAGUGGCGAAGGCGACUCACUGGACACGGUAUUGACGCUGAGGUGCGAAAGCGUGGGAGACAAACAGG
rnacentral:rRNA from 1 species